UACGGAGGGUGCAAGCGUUAUCCGGAUUCACUGGGUUUAAAGGGCGCGUAGGCGGCCAGCACAAGUCAGUUGUGAAAUCUCCGAGCUUAACUCGGAAAGGUCAACUGAUACUGUGCGGCUAGAGUGCGGAAGGGGCGACUGGAAUUCCUGGUGUAGCGGUGGAAUGCGCAGAUAUCAGGAGGAACACCGAUGGCGAAGGCAGGUCUCUGGCCGCAACUGACGCUGAGGAGCGAAGCAUGGGAGCGAACAGGA
rnacentral:rRNA from 1 species